rnacentral:rRNA from 1 species
UACAGAGGGGGCAAGCGUUUGUUCGGAAUUACUGGGCGUAAAGGGCGCGUAGGCGGCCUUCUAAGUCGAACGUGAAAUCCCCGGGCUCAACCCGGGAACUGCGUCCGAUACUGGAAGGCUUGAAUCCGGGAGAGGGAUGCGGAAUUCCAGGUGUAGCGGUGAAAUGCGUAGAUAUCUGGAGGAACACCGGUGGCGAAGGCGGCCUCCUGGCAGAACAUUGACGCUAAGGCGCGAAAGCGCGGGGAGCAAACCGG